rnacentral:tRNA from 1 species
AUAUAAAAAGCGGGCAUUAACUUUUUAAAAUCCCUCGGCGUUCGCGCUGUGCGGGUUCAAGUCCCGCUCUGGGCACCA